GGAGGGUGCAAGCGUUGUUCGGAAUUACUGGGGGGCGUAAAGCGCGUGUAGGGCGGGCUUUUUAUGUCGGGUGUGAAAGCCCUGGGCCCAACCCAGGAAGUGCGCCCCCGAAACUGAAAAGCUUGAGUACGAGAGAGGAGGACGGAAUUCCUAGUGUAGAGGUGAAAUUCGUAGAUAUUAGGAAGAACACCGGUGGCGAAAGCGGUUCUCUGGAUCGAUACUGACGCUAAGACGCGAAAGCGUGGGGAGCAAACAGGAUUAGAUACCCUGGUAGUCCACGCCGUAAACGAUGGAUACUAGUUGUUGCGGGCUUUUAAACUCGCAGUGACGACGCUAACGCAUUAAGUAUCCCGCCUGGGGAGUACGGCCGCAAGGUUA
rnacentral:rRNA from 1 species